GGGGAAUUUUGGACAAUGGGCGAAAGCCUGAUCCAGCAAUGCCGCGUGCAGGAUGAAGGCCUUCGGGUUGUAAACUGCUUUUGUACGGAACGAAAAGCUUCGGGUUAAUACCCUGGAGUCAUGACGGUACCGUAAGAAUAAGCACCGGCUAACUACGUGCCAGCAGCCGCGGUAAUACGUAGGGUGCAAGCGUUAAUCGGAAUUACUGGGCGUAAAGCGUGCGCAGGCGGUCUUGUAAGACAGAGGUGAAAUCCCCGGGCUCAACCUGGGAACUGCCUUUGUGACUGCAAGGCUGGAGUGCGGCAGAGGGGGAUGGAAUUCCGCGUGUAGCAGUGAAGUGCGUAGAUAUGCGGAGGAAUACCGGUGGCGAAGGCGGCCCCCUGGACAAAGACUGACGCUCAGGUGCGAAAGCGUGGGGAGCAAACA
rnacentral:rRNA from 1 species